rnacentral:tRNA from 1 species
UCCCUGGUGGCUCAGAUGGUAAAGCGUCUGCCUACAAUGCAGGAGACCCAAGUUCAAUCCCUGGGUCGGGAA